GAACUGCGAUAAGGGGACACCGAGUGCCAGCAUCCUAUGUUGGCUGUCCGCAUGUUUAAAUCACAUGUGUUAGCAAGGGCCGGGCAAGACCGGUGCCAGCCGCCGCGGUAACACCGGCGGCCCGAGUGGUGGCCACUAUUAUUGGGUCUAAAGGGUCCGUAGCCGGUUUGGUCAGUCUUCCGGGAAAUCUGACGGCUUAACCGUUAGGCUUUCGGGGGAUACUGCCAGGCUUGGGACCGGGAGAGGUAAGAGGUACUACGGGGGUAGGAGUGAAAUCUUGUAAUCCCCGUGGGACCACCAGUGGCGAAGGCGUCUUACCAGAACGGGUCCGACGGUGAGGGACGAAAGCUGGGGGCACGAACCGGAUUAGAUACCCGGGUAGUCCCAGCUGUAAACUAUGCUCGCUAGGUGUCAGGGACGGUGCGACCGUUUCUGGUGCCGCAGGGAAGCCGUGAAGCGAGCCACCUGGGAAGUACGGUCGCAAGGCUGAAACUUAAAGGAAUUGGCG
rnacentral:rRNA from 1 species